ACUCCCAGAGGAACAGUGGAAGAAAUACCAGCUGAUGACCGGAGAAAGCAGGGAGAGGCUGGAUUGCCGAGGGGUGACGCUGCGCUGCCUUGACGAGGCUGCUCAGGAGAAAAAGCACCAGGCCGAGGAGAUGAAGAGGGACAUUGUCGACUUGGUGGACAUUAUAGGGACCAUUAAGAAACAUGAUCCACCACCGCCUGGUUAAUAUGUGCCGCCGACGAUCUGUUAAGCAGGAUGCAGCGUGCUCUGAGGCGACCCCGGGCAGGAGGCAACAUGUGACCUCGUGCGCCAAACCUUUGACCUCUAUUCAGAAGCAGGCUAUGGCUGACUGGCUGGUGCUGUCUGGUCACUCAGCUCAGCAAGGGACUGGAAGCUGGAACUCUCUCUCUCUCCCAUUGAAAAGAAGAGAGAGAGAGUGUGUUCCAUCUCAUCCUCUCUCCCUCUCUCUCUAUUCCC